rnacentral:tRNA from 1 species
AGAAAGUUAGUCUAAGCAAGACAGUUGAUUUCGACUCAACAGACCAUAGCUUAUCCUAUGACUUUCUU